GAUAACGUUAACUCGAUAGGGUGAUAAUAUCUCAGACGGCCUCCAACCCGAGCUAACCUGGAAACUCUAGAAAACAUGGGAAAGAAGGGGGGUAAGAUUUCGCUUAGUAAGUUCAUAUGAAAACAAUAAGCAACUCAUUAACUUGUUUUAUCAAUGUUUACAACAUAUUCUCAAGUUCACUACAAGUUAUCUUCCUGCGCAACAAUCACUAAAUUAUUUAUAUCUGGAGCUACGAAACUUAAAAUUAAGUUCCGUUAAUUUCAACUGAAACUAGACUCAUUUAUCAUUCUUUCAUAAAAUUUACAGAAUUUUUGACAUAGCCAAUUAGUACAGUUUAUUCCUCAAGUUUGCUCCUGAUUCACUGUAUGACAAUUUCAACCCUUCUGUACUAAAGUUCAAUUAUCUCAUAGUACAGGAUUCGAAUAAUGUUCUUGUCUAUUUCUCUUGAAACUAGACUCAUAUGUCUACUAACUAAUUUUUUUCUAGAAUUUUUGGUCAAGCCAUUUAGCACAUUUUAUUAGUUAAAGUUUCCCCUAUUUCAGGGUAUGACUACUUUGACCCCUGUGCACUACGAAUCGAAUUUCUCCAUGUACAGAAUUCCAAUGACCAUGCCGUUUGUUUCCCUAAAAAUAGACUCAAUAAGGAAUCUAUUCAGGUAAGGUAUGACUCUUAAUAAUGUUUUUACAAUUUACGGUGAACUUGUAAAAUCAAAAUAGGGGAUCUCAAAUUCAUUCAAACCCUGUUUCACAAGAAUUUAAAUAUCACACAAUAUAGAAUUCUUUUUCUUCCUCUAUUUCUUUCAUGUGAAAAUAGACUCAUUAAGCUUUAAUACCAUAUUUUAUUCUGCCUCUAACUCAUUUUCCACUAUUUUUAGUGUAUUUUCAAAGUUACACUACUACAGUAACUCAAAUCUGUCAAGGCUAAGUUACUCAUUCAUGGUCAUUGUUCAUAAUAUUAAUACAACACCAUUUUAUCCAUCAUGGUAAGAACACAUAUUAUGCAUCAUAGGAUUAGUAUACAUACUUGCACAACUCGUAACAUAACUCGAGUGCAUACUCACCAAUGACUUACCUCAUUGGGACCAUCAUCAACUCUUUCCUUGGAUUGCCCGUUGAACACUUGGAAUACUAAUUGGAUACUCGGAAAAGCCUUUGCACAUAAGUGCCUCAAUUGUAGCUAAAACUACCUCGUAUCUCAUGACAUUUCAAUUCUCACUCUCGAGCUAGUCAUCUAGACUCAUAAUUCCUAGUGACAUGUCACUCGUAUCCUAUUCUAUUCCUAAGGUUCAAACGGGAUUUUUCCUCGUCUAUUAAGGCUUUGUCUUAUCAUAUUUCUAUUAAUCACAUACACCUUAAUAUCUGUACAAUUCAUGUAAUGAUAACAUUUAAAUACAUGUAUAGCAUGGUAUUGUUUACAUACGAACUUACCUCUAUACCACAAAGGUGAAAAGGACAUACUCGUCCAUAAAUCGAUUUCUUUCUGUUCUAGGUCCAAGUCUCAAUUUUCAUCAUCUAUAACAUCACAUUUAGCCUACCAAUCAGUCACAAUAUUCAUAUGGGUCUAAAAAUCAUAUUUUUACAAAUUUUCAUUUUGACCCCUAAACUUUUGCAUAUUUGCACUUUUGCCCCAAUGCUCGUAAAUUAAUUUUUAUCACAUUUAUUUACUCCUUGAGUCUAGAUGAACCAUUUUCAUAACUAUAGCAACUCAUAAUUUCAACUAUUUUACACAUUUACAACUCAUUUUACAACUUAGCAAUUUAGCCCUUUUUAAGGUAUUUUCAUGCAAUUGCUUUCACAAAAGUUGUUUAUUAGACAACUAGGACUCAUAAUCUUCCAUAAAAACACAGAAAACAACACAUUUACUCUCAUGGUAAAACCCUAGACUCUUCAUCAUUUUGCAAAAUAAUCCCCUCUUAUGAAAGCUUAUGCUUUAGGGGUUCCAAAAAUACAAAAAUCAUCAAGCAAAGACAUUAAAAUCACUUACAAGCAAGGGAAAUAUGUUGCUGAAAUUUUCCAGCUUCAAAACCCUUUCUUUUCUGCAUAUUUCGGUGAAGGGGUAGAGAAAAAUGACAGCUUUU
rnacentral:lncRNA from 1 species